CCGCAUAAGCGCACAGCAUCGCAUGAUGCAGUGUGAAAAACUCCGGUGGUAUAAGAUGGACCCGCGUUGGAUUAGCUAGUUGGUGAGGUAACGGCCCACCAAGGCGACGAUCCAUAGCCGACCUGAGAGGGUGACCGGCCACAUUGGGACUGAGACACGGCCCAAACUCCUACGGGAGGCAGCAGUGGGGAAUAUUGCACAAUGGGCGAAAGCCUGAUGCAGCGACGCCGCGUGAGCGAAGAAGUAUUUCGGUAUGUAAAGCUCUAUCAGCAGGGAAGAUAAUGACGGUACCUGACUAAGAAGCACCGGCUAAAUACGUGCCAGCAGCCGCGGUAAUACGUAUGGUGCAAGCGUUAUCCGGAUUUACUGGGUGUAAAGGGAGCGCAGGCGGUGCGGCAAGUCUGAUGUGAAAGCCCGGGGCUCAACCCCGGUACUGCAUUGGAAACUGUCGUACUAGAGUGUCGGAGGGGUAAGCGGAAUUCCUAGUGUAGCGGUGAAAUGCGUAGAUAUUAGGAGGAACACCAGUGGCGAAGGCGGCUUACUGGACGAUAACUGACGCUGAGGCUCGAAAGCGUGGGGAGCAAACAGGAUUAGAUACCCUGGUAGUCCACGCCGU
rnacentral:rRNA from 1 species